GCUGUUCGCCCAUUAAAGCGGUACGCGAGCUGGGUUUAGAACGUCGUGAGACAGUUCGGUCCCUAUCCGCUGUGCGCGUAGGAAUAUUGAGAAGGGCUGUCCCUAGUACGAGAGGACCGGGACGGACGAACCUCUGGUGUGCCAGUUGUUCUGCCAAGGGCAUGGCUGGUUGGCUACGUUCGGGAGGGAUAACCGCUGAAAGCAUCUAAGCGGGAAGCCUGCUUCGAGAUGAGUGUUCCCACCUCCUUGAGAGGGUAAGGCUCCCAGUAGACGACUGGGUUGAUAGGCCGGAUAUGGAAGCCCUGUAAGGGGUGGAGUUGACCGGUACUAAUAGGCCGAGGGCUUGUCCUCAGUUG
rnacentral:rRNA from 1 species